AGCUAGCGGUAUGCUACACAUGUUAUCGUGACGGAAAAGAAAUUUCAGUGGCGAACGGGUGAGUACACGUAGAUUGCCUUUAGGAAGAGGAUAACUAUUAGAAAUAAGUUGCUAAAACUCUAUAUGCCUUACGGUGAAAAAAGAAAUUUGCCUAAAGAGAAGCUCGCGUCUGAUUAGCUAGUUGGUGGGGUAAAGGCCUACCAAGGCGACGAUCAGUAGCUGGUCUGAGAGGAUGAUCAGCCACACUGGAACUGAGACACGGUCCAGACUCCUACGGGAGGCAGCAGUGAGGAAUUUUCUGCAAUGGGCGAAAGCCUGACAGAGCAAUACCGCGUGAGGGAUGACGGCCUAUGGGUUGUAAACCUCUUUUCUCAAGGAGGAAAAUUUGACGUUACUUGAGGAAUAAGCAUCGGCUAACCCUGUGCCAGCAGCCGCGGUAAUACAGGGGAUGCAAGUGUUAUCCGGAAUUAUUGGGCGUAAAG
rnacentral:rRNA from 1 species